UGACAGAGGUCCCAAGCGUUACUCGGGAAUUACUGGGCGUAAAGGGUGCGUAAGUGGUCGUUUAAGGUCCGUUGUCGGAAAAUCCCUGGGGCUCCGAACCUGGGAACUGGCAGUCGGUAUACUGGACGGCUAGAAUGCGGAUAGAGGGUAGUGGAAUUCCCGGUGUAGCAGUGAAAUGCGUAGAGAUCGGGAGGAACACCAGUGGCGA
rnacentral:rRNA from 1 species